rnacentral:rRNA from 1 species
UACGUAGGGGGCAAGCGUUGUCCGGAAUCAUUGGGCGUAAAGGGCGCGUAGGUGGCCCAGCAAGCGUGCGGUGAAAGCUCGGGGCUCAACCCCGAGUCGGCCGUGCGAACUGCUGGGCUGGAGCACUGUAGAGGCAGGCGGAAUUCCGGGUGUAGCGGUGAAAUGCGCAGAUAUCGGGAGGAACACCAGUAGCGAAGGCGGCACUCUGGGCCGGUACUGACGCUGAGGAGCGAAAGCGUGGGGAGCGAACAGG